rnacentral:rRNA from 1 species
GCAGCCGCGGUAAUACGUAGGUGGCAAGCGUUAUCCGGAUUUACUGGGUGUAAAGGGCGUGUAGGCGGGAUUGCAAGUCAGACGUGAAAACUAUGAGCUCAACUCAUAGCCUGCGUUUGAAACUGUAGUUCUUGAGUGUCGGAGAGGUAAUCGGAAUUCCGUGUGUAGCGGUGAAAUGCGUAGAUAUACGGAGGAACACCAGUGGCGAAGGCGGAUUACUGGACGAUAACUGACGCUGAGGCGCGAAAGCGUGGGGAGCAAACAGGAUUAGAUACCCC